rnacentral:lncRNA from 1 species
AAUCAGUAAAUGAAGCAAGCUCUCCAACAUAAAAGGAAACUAACUAUGUAAUUUGCUGUGAUAUUUUUAUACAGUUUCCGUUACUUAAUAGUUUGUUCUUGAAGUUGUAUCUUGUUCUAUAGGCGUCGACUGCAAACUGAAUAGUGCACUGCUUCUCAGUCUCAUUGAUUGAUAUGUUUAGUUCUUAGUCGUAGAAAAGUGUUUUAUAAGGCUUUGAGGAGUAACAAUAACAGUAAUGUAUAAUCCUCUUUUCUAAAGCAUUUCUGCGUUGAGAUGCAAUACUACUUGGCUUGGUAACUUCUUUUAAAUUUUCCCGAUUACAGAAAACUUCAAAAUAGAGCACUUUAGCGAUGUUAAUAACUACAACUAACCCCCACCACUAGCAUUGUGUCCCUUAUAUUUCUUCGCCAGUUUUCACUCUUACUCAUCAAUCAAAAACUAGGUAUGAUCAAACACCUGAUUCUUUUACUUUAUUUCCAUUAUUCCUUUUAUUCUUGGUUACAUAUUUCCCAUCCCCUCAAAAACACAAGAAAAAUGAAUCUAGCAUUUGACACACAUGACACAUCAGUUCGAACAUUAUAAAAUCAAUCAGCUAAGCGAAAAAAUUCACAUCAGAAGGUUAAAAGUUAAAAACCAGUUUUCCUACCUUCUCAGAGGAGCAAACCUCAAAAAACAAAAAAAUUGAGUGUUGAGAAGCACAACUAUACAAAAGCAAAACACAACAUUUACGGAAACACAAAAACCAAAAGCCAAGUUCUAUAAGACACUGCAUAUGUAUGUCAAAGUAUACUAGUAUAAAUCAGAGAAAACCAAAACCAGGAAGCAGCCUUAGCUCUACAUGUACAACAAGCCUUGGAAGCUUCGUCGCCAUUUAAGUGGCUUUGCAAUUCAAUUUUGAGGUAUUAAAUGGUGAAUUGACCCGCUUUUGGUUAGAUACUUGGUCGGGGCUGUCACCGUUUUGUGAGAGAUUUCCUACUUUUUUCUUUCUCAAAUAAAAAAGAUGGAACGGUGAGGGAGAUGGGGGAGUGGAUUGAAAAUGAGUGGAGGUGGUCAUUUGAUUGGCGUAGAAGAUUAUUUGUGUGGGAGGAAGGAUUGUUUGAAGAGUUGUUGGCGGAACUGAUGCUGGUCAUUCCUAGGGUGGGAGAAGAUUGUUGGGUCAGGACACCAGAUGACAAGGAGACUUUUUCAGUCUGUUCUGCUUAUACUUUGACCGUAAAGGUGCUGCUCGGUGAGGUAACCAUACACCCUCAGUCAUUUCUGUAUAUCAAAACCUGUGGAGGAUCUUGGCGUCGUCUAAGGUGGCAGCAUUUCUUGGAAGCUGCUGCUAAAUCACAUUCCGAUGAGGACAGCUUUAGCGAGUAGAGGAGUGACAGCAGCUGAUCGUCGAGUGGAUUGUGCUCUGUGUUGUGGGGAGGAGGAAACAACACUUCACNNNNNNNNNNNNNNNGUUUGGUAUGGUGUUUUCCGGUGGCUUGAUUUGGUGAUCGUUACACCACCAAACCUUUUUGUUCUUUUUGAGUGCCUUAGUGAUACAGCAAUUGGAAAUAAAUUGAGAAAGGGUUAUUGGUUUAUUUGGCAUGCUAUGGUCUCUUUGGAAAGCAAGGAAUGAAACCAUCUUCUCAAAUAAUCAUAAGGUUGUGGCACAGGUAGUUGACGAAAUAAAAACAGUGUCUUGGAAGUGGGCGAUGAAUAGAAUGAAGUUGGCAACAGUGUCUUGGAAGUGGGCGAUGAGUAAAAUGAAGUUGGCCCCUUGCAUUUUGUAGGAAUGGAUUUGGGACCCCGGUGAUUGUUUGAGAAGAUAAAAACUGCUGUCUUAAAGUUGUUGCUGCUGGUGCUAUAAAGGAAGACCGCAGAUUGCUUGUGCUUUGUACCUGGGAAUGCCUAAUAAUCUGACAAAGAGUGUGUAAUGCUUUAGUUGUGAAAAUAAGGUUAUUUAGGUGUUCUUUACAGUGUGUUAGGUUUGUGUGUGUGCUGGACAGGUGUUUGCUUCUAUUACCUUGUCCUUAGUUUUUUCUGGUUAUUAGCUCUUGGGUUAUGUACUGGUGUAGCAUGCUUAGGCGCAGCACCUAGCCUGGGAUUUUGGAAUUUCCUUGUUGAUUGGAAGGAUUUUAAUUGUAUGGGUGUUGCCUUUUGUCUUUAGUUUCUAUACCCACUAGCUAGUGCAGGAGGUGUAAUGUUCUCUUCCUCACCGAGUCACCGGGGUAUGUCUUGUGCUCGGAUAGAGUUAUAUAUAUUGAUUUGCCGAUUAAAAAAAAAUACAGUUGAAACUUUAACCAUAGAACCCAUAUAUUCUCUUAAACUAUAAGUUUAACAAACAUAUAAACAUAAUAAGAAGCAGCUGGCCUACAAUCCAUAGCUCACUUUAAGUUUAUCAAACAUGUAAAAAACUGAUAAGAAGCAAUCGGGCAUCAAUAGAGUUUGAUUCAACAUUCUAGUAGUGAGACAAGCCCUUGCAAAUGCAUUCUUUCUCAUAUAUACACAGUAUGAGGAAGCUACUGGAACCUUAGGAUCAUAAAAUAUGAGGAAAAAUCAAAUGGUAAAGAAACAUGGUAAAUGUUUGACUAAAGAAUUCUAUAACAAUUGGAGCCAUGACUUAAUAAUAAGCAGAAACAUCAAGCAUAAUAAGAACAAUAGGAUAGGGAAAAGCAAUAACACCGACAAUAGUGACAAAAAACAUAUUUCAAACGAUUCUCAACAAUAUUGACUACUAGGAAUUCCAACAUGAAGAAUGGGAAAAAAAAACUCAAUUCAAACAAAAGAAGAAUGAAAGAACUUCAACAAUUAAUUAAGCUCAAUCGAUACCACAAUAACAAUACAUGCAUACAUCGAUUAAUCAGGUAAGUUCACCUAUAGCCAAGAAAAAUGUGUAUAAAGCUCAAUCGUUACCACAGUAAAUAACAACCUAUGCAGAAAAGACGCUUCACUAAAUUAGAAAGAACUUGCUCAUAAAGAAGGAUGAAGAAUACCUGAGCUGAAGAUCCACACAGGAGAGGACGAGAGGCAAGAGUUGUGAGCGUUCAGAUCGAGUGCUUUGGAAUGAGAGUUGUGAGUGAGAGCUGAAAUAACAAGCCAAAAGAUUCUGAACACCAAAUUUCUACAAAAUCCCUAAU